UAAGGAAUAUUGGUCAAUGGACGCAAGUCUGAACCAGCCAUGCCGCGUGAAGGAUGAAGGCCCUCUGGAUUGUAAACUUCUUUUAUCUGGGACGAAAACGGGAUUUUUAUCUCAAUUGACGGUACCAGAGGAAUAAGCACCGGCUAACUCCGUGCCAGCAGCCGCGGUAAUACGGAGGGUGCGAGCGUUAUCCGGAUUUACUGGGUUUAAAGGGUGCGUAGGUGGGCUUAUAAGUCAGUGGUGAAAUCUCCGAGCUUAACUUGGAAACUGCCGUUGAUACUAUAGGUCUUGAAUUAUCUGGAGGUAAGCGGAAUAUGUCAUGUAGCGGUGAAAUGCUUAGAUAUGACAUAGAACACCAAUUGCGAAGGCAGCUUACUACAUAUAAAUUGACGCUGAGGCACGAAAGAGUGGGGAUCAAACA
rnacentral:rRNA from 1 species